AUAAAAUAAUCCUACCCCCACACAAUUUCUCCUUUUAUUUUAGAGCAAUUCAAAUGAGGUACAGCCCAUUUGAUACAGGAUCCAACCUUUACUAACGGGUAAUACUUGACUCACACUUAAAAGUGGGCCUAAAAGCAGUCACCUUUUAAAAAGCGUCAAAGCUUAACUAUGUGAAUCUCAAUUUACAAAUCCCCACUGACCCCUUUAACUGUACUGAGAACUUCUAUAAACCUAUAGAACCUUUUCUGCUAAAACUAGUAACAAGAGGACUCCCCUCUCCUUAAUGCAAGCACAACCCAGCAAGAACCCAUCACUGGCAAUUAACGGAAWAAUGUAACAACUUCACUAGAAAACCCUACUUUUCCCCCCCCCGUUAACCUAACACUAGAGCAUUUCAAGAAAGAUUAAAAGAAAAAGAAGGAAUUCCGCAAACAAUAGCCUCGCCUGUUUACCAAAAACAUCGCCUCUUGACCCCCCCCCAUAAGAGGCCCAGCCUGCCCAGUGACUCUNUUCAACGGCCGCGGUAUCCUAACCGUGCAAAGGUAGCGUAAUCACUUGUCUUCUAAAUAGAGACCAGUAUGAAAGGCAUUACGAGGGCUAAACUGUCUCCUCUCUCUAAUCAGUGAACCUAAUCCCCCCGUGAAGAAGCGGGGAUCAUAACAUAAGACGAGAAGACCCUAUGGAGCUUUAAACAAUAUAACACCUGCUUAAUUUUAAAUUAUUCCGAUUCUAACCCUAUAGCAUGCUGAUUAUAAGUUUUUGGUUGGGGUGACCGCGGAGAAAAAAAGAUCCUCCACAAUGAAAGGGGUUUUCCCUCUAAACUGUAAGCUACAACUUUGCGUAUAAAUAAAUUACAUUAUUGACCCAAUAUUUGAUCAACGAACCAAGUUACCCUAGGGAUAACAGCGCAAUCCACUUUGAGAGCUCCUAUCGACAAGUGGGCUUACGACCUCGAUGUUGGAUCGGGGUAUCCCAGUGGUGCAGCCGCUACUAAAGGUUCGUUUGUUCAACGAUUAAAACCCCACGUGAUCUGAGUUCAGACCGGAGCAAUCCAGGUCAGUUUCUAUCUAUGAAGAGGCUUUUUUUAGUACGAAAGGACCAAAAAAGCCCGGCCAAUACUAAAUCAAGCCGUAACUCAUUAAUUUUUGACCACAACUCAAAAACUACCAAUCUUACCCCCCUCCCA
rnacentral:rRNA from 1 species